GUAACAAGGUCUCCGUUGGUGAACCAGCGGAGGGAUCAUUACCGAGUUAUACAACUCAUCAACCCUGUGAACAUACCUAAAACGUUGCUUCGGCGGGAACAGACGGCCCCGUAACACGGGCCGCCCCCGCCAGAGGACCCCCUAACUCUGUUUCUAUUAUGUUUCUUCUGAGUAAAACAAGCAAAUAAAUUAAAACUUUCAACAACGGAUCUCUUGGCUCUGGCAUCGAUGAAGAACGCAGCGAAAUGCGAUAAGUAAUGUGAAUUGCAGAAUUCAGUGAAUCAUCGAAUCUUUGAACGCACAUUGCGCCCGCCAGUAUUCUGGCGGGCAUGCCUGUUCGAGCGUCAUUACAACCCUCAGGCCCCCGGGCCUGGCGUUGGGGAUCGGCGAGGCGCCCCCUGCGGGCACACGCCGUCCCCCAAAUACAGUGGCGGUCCCGCCGCAGCUUCCAUUGCGUAGUAGCUAACACCUCGCAACUGGAGAGCGGCGCGGCCACGCCGUAAAACACCCAACUUCUGAAUGUUGACCUCGAAUCAGGUAGGAAUACCCGCUGAACCUAAGCAUAU
rnacentral:misc_RNA from 1 species